UGGGCGUAAGCGCGCGCAGGCGGUCUCUUAAGUCUGAUGUGAAAUCCCACGGCUCAACCGGGGAGGUGCAUUGGAAACUGGGGAGCUUGAGUGCUGAAGAGGGGGGCGGAAUUCCACGUGUAGCGGUGAAAUGCGUAGAGAUGUGGAGGAACACCAGUGGCGAAGGCGGCUUUUUGGUCUGUAACUGACGCUGAGGCGCGAAAGCGUGGGGAGCAAACAGGAUUAGAUACCCUGGUAGUCCACGCCGUAAACGAUGACUGCUAGGUGUUUGAGGGUUUCCGCCCUU
rnacentral:rRNA from 1 species